UCGAAUCCUGCACGACCCACCAAUCGUUCGGUGGAAACGAGAAUAAAACGUGAAGGAUAACGUUGCGUCAGCAACGACCCGUAGGGCGAGGCAAAGCCGAGUCAUCCUGCACGACCCACCA
rnacentral:sRNA from 1 species